rnacentral:rRNA from 1 species
AUUGAACGCUGGCGGCAGGCCUAAUACAUGCAAGUCGAACGAGAGGCGGACGGGUGAGCAAUGUCUGGGAAACUGCCUGAUGGAGGGGGAUUACUACUGUAAAAGGUAGCUAAUACCGCAUACCAUUAGAUGUGCCGAGAUGGGCUUAGCUUGGUGGUGGGGUAACGGCCCACCAAGGCGACGAUCCCUAGCUGGUCUGAGAGGAUGACCAGCCACACUGGAACUGUGACACGGUCCAGACUCCUACGAGAGGCAGCAGUGGGGAAUAUUGCACAAUGGGCGCAAGCCUGAUGCAGCCAUGCCGCGUGUAUGAAGAAGGCCUUCGGGGUGUAAAGUACUUUCAGCGGAGAGGCGUUACCCACAGAGGAAGCACCGGCUAACUCCGUGCCAGCAGCCGCGGUAAUAC